GCGGCGCCCUACGGGAGGCAGCAGUAGGGAAUCUUCCGCAAUGGACGAAAGUCUGACGGAGCAACGCCGCGUGAGCGAAGAAGGUCUUCGGAUCGUAAAGCUCUGUUGUUAGGGAAGAACAAGUAUCGGAGGGAAUGCCGGUACCUUGACGGUACCUGACGAGAAAGCCACGGCUAACUACGUGCCAGCAGCCGCGGUAAU
rnacentral:rRNA from 1 species